UUUGAUUUUGCCGGUUCUUGUUCGUGAACCGUUAAAAAUUGAAAAACUAAAUUUUUUUUUUGUUUCUGUCUUUGUGUGAGCAUGAUCGUGGAUCGUAUCAAGGUACAACAAAGGCAUACGACUGUUCAGACAGAUGGAUCCCGCAGAAGAAAGACGACAUUCAAAGAAGCAAAAGGAUCACUGCGACAUGUUAGGGUUUGUCGCGGAUUCACAGUACGGGGUUCCAAGAAAGUGUGCUUGCGGCGGGAGAAUCAUUGACGAGGUUCGGGGGAAGGAAGACUACGAAAGUCUUCCUGGAAAGUGUUUCUUCACAUGCGUAAACUAUGAGGAUGAUGGGUUGCAUUACCGUCAUCCUUGGGUGGUUGCUGUCCAGGAAGAGAUCAAAACGCUGAGCACGCGUCUGGAUGAGGCAGAGGAGGUUGUGAAGGGGGUGUGGAAACUCAAUAAACGGAUUAAGGACCUAGAGGUAAGUGUAUCUCCUUGCUGUAGUUAUUUGUUACAUUGUACUUGUUGAGUCAGUAAGUUAAAACACAGCAUCAUUGUUGUUUCCAUGUCCAGGAACAGGUUUCAACCCUGUCCGAGCAGGUUGAUGAUCUCACUGUCGAGGUGGGUACCUUGAGAAGGUGUGUUUC